AGAUGUUUAGAUGAAUAGGAAUUUCAUGGCAAAUUAUUAUUUUGCAUAAUAAAUAUAACACAUCCAUUGUCUAGUGAUUAGUACUUGAAGGUAGGAGAUGCUAAAAUAAUGUUAACUGAUAUCAAAUAAAAUUCUCCAUUAUCUGGAUUUUUUUAAACUUUCCCUAAAUCCUGAACAUGGUGAUUGGUCUUAAAUAUCCAAAUGUUGUACACCAUAUGGCUUGGACUCGUUGCUGUCAUUACAUCAUAAUUGAGGAAAUCUGCACUUCACCUCAAUACUGGUUUUCCUAAUUUACAAAAUCUUUUGUUUCUAAGUCAGUUAAAUAAAUUAACUUUUUGGGAUCA